GGCCAGAACCCACAAAUUGUGAGAUCAUGACCUGAGCCAAAGUCGGACGCUCAGCCGACUGAGCCACCCAGGCUCCCCGCCAUAUGAUAUUGUCUUCUAAGAACUAACAAAAUUAUAUCAUUUUCUGUUUGCUCAGAUCUUGUCUAUAUCAUUAGUAUGAUUAAGAUUUGAGAGUUUUCUUCACUUAAGCCCUGUGUCUUUUUUUUACUAAAUGUAGUCUUGUUCCUUAGUUUUUUGGUCAUUAUUAAGAACAGAUUUUUUUUCCCAUUUUCAUUUCUAAAGGCUUAUUACAAAUAAAAAGCCUAUUUUUUUUUUCUGUGUGCUUAAACCUUAUAUGUAACAAAUAUAUAUACUUACUAAAUUUUCUCAUGAAGUUUUCACUAGUCUCUUGGAACUUUUAGAAAUAUAAUGAUGAUACAAAUAUUAUGAUACACGAAAUCACAAAAAUAACUCGUUUUUUUUAAAUAUUUGAAAUAUUCUUUUCCUCUCUAGAAUCUUUAAUGUCUAGAAACUCUAUUAUAGUGUUGAAUGGUAAUGGUGAUAGCCAGCACCUGUCACGGAUUUUAAUUGAAGUAGUUUAUUGAGCUGUUUCGAAUAUUCAUGUUGCUAUUUGGUAAAUAAUCUUAUCUAAACAAAUUCUUGUUUUACCAAGACGUUUUAUCAGAAAAUGCUGCUGAAUUUUGUCAAAUGCCUUUUCAGCCUUUUUUGAUGUGGUUUUGUGUUAGUCUUCUUUAAUCUGUUGACUACUUAGAUUACAUUGGAGCUGCUGAUAUUAAGCCACUCUUGUCUCCUUGGAAUAAAACCUACUUGGUCAUAAUGUGUUAUUCUUUUUUUUUUUUUUUUUAUAAAUCAGUAUUCCAGUUGCUAAUAUUUUAUUUAGAAUUUCAGCAUGCAUAUUCAUACAUGAGAUUAGUCUAUAGGUUUCUUUAGUGGUCUGUUUUUAUUAGGUAUAAAAAGUUAUGCAGGUUGACAAAAUGUGGGACUAAUCAGAAGGCUCGCCCACUGUGGGUGAGAAUGCAAAUUUAUUCAAAUGUGUUAGAAAACCACUUGGCUGAAUCUACUAACGUGAAAAUAUAAAAUCUAGUAAUUCUGCUUCUGGGCAAACACCCAAUAAAAUGCAUACAUAUGUUUACCAAAAGACAUGUUCUAGAAUGUUUAUAGCAACAUUAUUAGCAAUAGCUUCAAACCAGGAACUACCUAAAAGUCCAUCUACUAUAGCAUGGAUAAAUACAUUUUUGUGUUCAUACAGUGGAAUAUUAUACAGCAACAAGAAUGAACAGUUUAUAAGCACAUGCAAUAUAUGGAUGAAUCUCAGAAAUGUUAUGUCGAGCCUUAAAAGGCAGAUAUAAAAAGAAUACUGUGUGCUUGCCUUUUUAUAAGUGCAAAAACAGGCAAAACUAAUCUGUUAACUGUUAGAAGACAGGAACGUGGUUAUCUUCAGUGAGAGAUAAGUAGAGGGGGAGGUAGUGUCUGAAAGAGUUUGAGGGGGAUUCUGCAGUGCUGGUAACAUUUUGUGUCUUUGUCUAGGUGCCUGUUUAUGUUCGAUUGUUUAGGUCAUGGAAACUCAUCUACUUUACACUUACAUGUACACUUUUCUGUAUGUAUUUUAUACUUGAAUAAAAUGUUUUUAGAAAGCAAUACUUGUUUCAUAGAAUGAAUUGGGGAGAUUUCAUCUUUUUCUACAGUUUAGAAUUGUUUAAGAGGUCUUUGAAAUUAUAUGUUAAAGAUUAGAUGAAACUUGGCUGAGAGACUUUCGGUCCUGAGGCCUUCUUGUUUAGAGGUAGGAUUUUUCAUUGCUUUUCUAAUACCUUUGGUUCAAAAUAUUCACUUCUUGAAUUAAUUCUGAUAAUUUAUAUUUUGUAGGAAAUACUUCAUUUUUUUGUAGGUUUUCACAUUUUCUAUAGAUCUGUGUUUUUAUGUUUCUUGUAAUUUCUUCAGUGUGUGGUAUUAUGGUUUUUAUUCUUUUUAUCCAAAGAUUAUCUAUCUGUGUUUCUUAAUUUUCAAGGAGUUCAGGAAAAGCAGUACUAAUUUUUCACAUUCAGUUCCUCUUGGCAAGUUGAAGGGUGAGGAGGAAACAAUCAAGGUGGAUCAAGAAUUUGCUCAGAAUCCCAUCUGAAGAUUCCUGGAUCAGAGGAGCAAAGGAAAUCUGCCCAGUGGCCCUCCAGCAGAUUUCUCCAUGUAUCUCACUGGCCACAACAUUGCCUCUCUACCUUUAAUGGAUGUUGAGAAAGCCUUCCUACUGAAAACAGAAGUGGAUCCCGGAAGCAGUGCUGUGCCUCUCUGACAGUCAUAACAGUCUUCGAAGGCUGCAGCCUGUAAACAAGUAAUGUAAGUGUAGCCAUCCAGGCAGAAGGAAGUGAAAGUCUUAGCAAGACAGUCAUUGGUUUUCUGGGGUGAAACUUCUUUUUUUUUAUUUUUUAUUUUUUUUAUGGUUAUUCAUUUUUGAGAGAGAGAGACAG